UACUGGCAUCUACAAAAGAAAAGAAGUAAAUGGAGAUAGAAACAAUGUAACUGUGUAACUCGGCUUCUGAUCAGAGGACUCCGGGCAGGGAGUGGUGAUCGGAGCAAGUGGUGGACAAACCAGCACUUGGCCAGGUAGAUAGUGAGCUGUGUCCAACCUUUUAGCCAUACGGUCAAUAUCCCCGGCUUAAAUGGCUGAUUGAUUACUUAGCAUUUAAGCUGAUUAUAGGAGAAGGGUCACUUCUUUGGCAUUUAUUAUUGAAUACAACUUUGAAAAUCCUCUAUAACUUGCUUUAACUUUUUUAGGAGAUG